rnacentral:rRNA from 1 species
GACGAACGCUGGCGGCGUGCUUAACACAUGCAAGUCGAACGGAAAGGCCCUGCUUUUGUUGGGUGCUCGAGUGGCGAACGGGUGAGUAACACGUGAGUAACCUGCCCUUGUCUUUGGGAUAACUUCAGGAAACUGGGGCUAAUACCGGAUAGGAGCUCCUGCUGCAUGGUGUGGGUUGGAAAGUGUCGGCGGUUGUGGAUGGUCUCGCGGCUUAUCCGCUUGAUUGUGGGGUAGUGGCAUACCAAGGCUUUGACGGGUAGCCGACCUGAGAGGGUGACCGGCCACCAUGCGACUGAGAUAGGGCCCAGUAUCCUACCGGCGGCAGCGGGCGAAAAUAUUGCGCAGUAACCGCGCGCCAGUUACAACAACGCUGCGUGCGUAAUAACGGCCUUCUGGGUAUAAACCGAUUUGGCAUUUGACGAGGCGUUCGUGACGGUAAUUGGUAAAGAAGCCCCGGCUAACUACGUG